CACGUAGUUAGCCGGGGCUUCUUAGUCAGGUACCGUCAUUUUCUUCCCUGCUGAUAGAGCUUUGCGUACCGAGAUACUUCUUCACUCACGCGGCGUCGCUGCAUCAGGGUUUCCCCCAUUGUGCAAUAUUCCCCACUGCUGCCUCCCGUAGGAGUUUGGGCCGUGUCUCAGUCCCAAUGUGGCCGUCCACCCUCUCAGGCCGGCUACUGAUCGCUGCCUUGGUGGGCCGUUACCCCGCCAACUAGCUAAUCAGACGCGGAUCCAUCGUAUACCACCGGAGUUUUUCACACUGCCCCAUGCGGAGCCGUGCGCUUAUGCGGUAUUAGCACCUAUUUCUAAGUGUUAUCCCCCGGUAUACGGCAGGUUAUCCACGCGUUACUCACCCGUCCGCCACUAACUCAUAAAUCACUAGGUUUCAAUAUGAGUCCGUUCGACUUGCAUGUGUUAAGCACGCCGCAGCGUUCAUCCUGAGCCAGGAUACAAACUCU
rnacentral:rRNA from 1 species